rnacentral:rRNA from 2 species
CACGCAGUAAACGAUGAUUACUAGCUGUUUGCGAUACACAGUAAGCGGCACAGCGAAAGCGUUAAGUAAUCCACCUGGGGAGUACGCCGGCAACGGUGAAACUCAAAGGAAUUGACGGGGGCCCGCACAAGCGGAGGAACAUGUGGUUUAAUUCGAUGAUACGCGAGGAACCUUACCCGGGUUUGAACGUAGGGAGACAGGGGUGGAAACAUCCUUUUCAGCAAUGACUGCCUACGAGGUGC